rnacentral:rRNA from 1 species
AUACGUAGGUGACAAGCGUUAUCCGGAUUUACUGGGCGUAAAGGGCGUGUAGGCGGUCUUGCAAGUCAGAAGUGAAAUUCCUGAGCUCAACUCGGGCGCUGCUUCUGAAACUGCAGGACUUGAGUGCUGGAGGGGAUAGCGGAAUUCCUAGUGGAGCGGUAAAAUGCGCAGAUAUUAGGAAGAACACCGGUGGCGAAGGCGGCUAUCUGGACAGUAACUGACGCUGAGGCGCGAAAGCGUGGGGAGCAAACAGGAUUAUAUACCCUGGUAGUCCACGCUGUAAACGAUGAAUACUAGGUGUGGGGGGACUGACCCCCUCCGUGCCGCAGUUAACACAAUAAGUAUUCCACCUGGGGAGUACGAUCGCAGGAUUGAAACUCAAAUGAAUUGGCGGGG